GAUGAACGCUGGCGGCGUGCCUAAUACAUGCAAGUCGAGCGAACGGACGAGAAGCUUGCUUCUCUGAUGUUAGCGGCGGACGGGCGAGUAACACGUGGAUAACCUACCUAUAAGACUGGGAUAACUUCGGGAAACCGUAGCUAAUACCGGAUAAUAUUUUGAACCGCAUGGUUCAAAAGUGAAAGACGGUCUUGCUGUUACUUAUAGAUGGAUCCGCGCUGCAUUAGCUAGUUGGUAAGGUAACGGCUUACCAAGGCAACGAUGCAUAGCCGACCUGAGAGGGUGAUCGGCCACACUGGAACUGAGACACGGUCCAGACUCCUACGGGAGGCAGCAGUAGGGAAUCUUCCGCAAAGGGCGAAAGCCUGACGGAGCAACGCCGCGUGAGUGAUGAAGGUCUUCGGAUCGUAAAACUCUGUUAUUAGGGAAGAACAUAUGUGUAAGUAACUGUGCACAUCUUGACGGUACCUAAUCAGAAAGCCACGGCUAACUACGUG
rnacentral:rRNA from 1 species